AUGUCAGCAGUCCUCCCUGUUGUGAUAGAUUGCAUAGGAUGCUGCUUCCGGAUCCAAAGGAACAAUCGACAGACGUCACAAAGAUCCACCUCUGGCUGCAUCAGAAAGUUAUGCUCCUGGCGCCACCAGCGAGUGCACCCCGCUAAUGGGUCGGGGACAGAAGAAACCCCGGGCUCCCAUGAAAGGCUGCCCAGCACCGCAGGAGGAAUAGAGGCUCCAAGUGGCUGCACAAUGCCGGCCGAUGACGCAACUAAUAAUAAUGGCAUGGCUUUGGAGCGCCCCACUCCAGUGACAAACAAUCGGGGUGAAGAAGAAGAAGGUGGGUCUUCGUUGCGGGCAUUGGUUGGAGAGCAGCCAGAGCCUGGGUUCCUUUUGGAAAGGGGGUAGUCUGGCAUGUGGAGCAGGCAGCUCUUUCCCAGUAAUAGUGAUGCCCUGGUGGCACCUGCCCUGGACACAAGUCUCUUGUGUUGAUUCCUUGGGUUGUGACACAUUCCGAGGGACA
ensembl:lncRNA